rnacentral:rRNA from 1 species
GGACCAAGGAGUCUAGCAUGUGCGCGAGUCAUUGGGAUAUUGACUAAACCUAAAGGCGCAAUGAAAGUGAAGGUCCGCCUUGCGCGGACCGAGGGAGGAUGGUCGGUCCCGAGGGACCGACUCGCACUCCCGGGGCGUCUCGUUCUCAUCGCGAGAAGAGGCGCACCCAGAGCGUACACGCUGGGACCCGAAAGAUGGUGAACUAUGCCUGGUCAGGACGAAGUCAGGGGAAACCCUGAUGGAGGUCCGUAGCGAUUCUGACGUGCAAAUCGAUCGUCGGAACUGGGUAUAGGGGCGAAAGACUAAUCGAACCAUCUAGUAGCUGGUUCCCUCCGAAGUUUCCCUCAGGAUAGCUGGCGCUCGCUUCUCGCGAGUCUCAUUCGGUAAAGCGAAUGAUUAGAGGCAUUGGGGUCGAAACGGCCUCAACCUAUUCUCAAACUUUAAAUGGGUGAGAUCUCCGGCUUGCUUGAACUGUGAAGCCGCGAGAUAUCGGAUCAGAGUGCCAAGUGGGCCACUUUUGGUAAGCAGAACUGGCGCUGUGGGAUGAACCAAACGCCGAGUUAAAGCGCCUAAAUCGACGCUUAUGGGAUACCAUGAAAGGCGUUGGUAACUUAAGACAGCAGGACGGUGGCCAUGGAAGUCGG